UUCACAAACAUUAUCAACUCUAGCCUGUGAUGUAAGCUCUUGAUUCUCAAACCCAUCCAAGCCACUUCUUAAAUCCCUCAACGUCCACUACCGGACACGAACUUUCAUCUCUUUCUUCAGCUGCCACACACCAGCAGUGGUGUAGUAGCAAAUUCAGAAGUGCAGGGUCUCUUCAUGAUAGUCACAGCCAUACCCCCUUCUAAGAUUCUACAACCUUUGAAGAUUACAGAAUAAUCUGGCCAGGCUUGUAUACUGGUUUCUGCUUCUCUGUCACUGUCACCAUUUGACUAUCCUUUCUCACUUUCAGAGAUAUUGCUUGAAUUACUAAAUUCAGUGUCUACACAUUUAUCUCUUGCUGCUACCCAACUGCUUGAUGAUGUGGAUGAGUCGCUAUCAUCAGGAUUCACCAUCUUCUGCAGUUACAGAAUUCUCACUCUCCACAAAUUGUCUUGGGUUUUUUUUUAUAAAGGAACUAAUACAGGUUUGAUCAUUCCUUUAGACAAGACAUCUUUCAUUUGAACACCUCGUGAGUGAAUACUUCUGAAGCCAAGAUGCAUCAACCAAAAAGUCUUUCUGGUUGCAGUAAAUGAUGUACAACAAAGCUGCCUUUCCAUGACCGUUUCCUCCUACGAUGCUGUCUAAAUCCUGCUCGUAUACAGUAUGUCUCAAGAGGAGAUGAAGAAAAUGCUUCCAGUGCAUAGGGUCAACAUCGACAUUUCCUUCAUCCAGAAACAAAACAUUUUCUGCCAUCUUUAGAGAAUAAAAUAAAUAAAUAAUAAAUAAUUUAGAGAAGGAGAUGGAAAGGUUGCUUUACUAAUUUGGCAAACAGUUAAAACACCCAUGUGAGGAACCCAGGCUUUCCAGCAGCAAACAUUAAGGAACUGCUGACUUUUUCAGAUCCCAUGUCUUUAAGGUUAGACUAAAGUCCAUUUCCUCUCCAGAGGCAAAAAUGCUAAGAACAGCUUGAGAGUAUCAUCAAUUGAUAGCCAAAAAGAAUUUAAAUAUUGCCACCAUAUACCUACAAGCUCUUAGUCUUAUACCCUUAUGGCAAACAACUAGAAAAGAUUGCUUAAUUUAGAGGAUUCCACCCAUUAAUGAAUUUUCUUCCCCCUCCCCCCAAUUUCCUUAUCCAGCUGAAUCAUUUGAUAGGCUAUACUGUGAUUAAAUAGAUAAUAGUAGAACCAAGAGGACCUGACUACAUCAGUUUCUAUCAAACUAAAGCCUCCAAAAGAAAGAAAUUCUACUUUGAUGUCCCAGAAAAUGUAAUUUUUAAAAAAUUAUAAACACCAUUUCAGCAUGCAUUUCUAUUACUCAGAGUCCACUGGUCUCUGAUAGUUACUUUAGUGCAGGGGAAGCCAAUGUACCCUCCACAUUCCUGCUACCUGGGGCUGAUAGGAGUUAUAGUCUACAACUUCUGGAGGACAUCACAUUGGCAACCUCUGCUUUAGUGGCAUAUCUGGUCACUGAACAAAUCUAUGUCUCCAUCAACUGAGUUAUACUCCAUCCAUCAUCAUGCUAAGAUCUAUCACUCAUCAUGUUAAGAUUCCAUUUGCAUCCUUUCCCAACCCUGGGGUCCCCAGAUGUUGCUGGACUACAACUCCCAUCAGCCUCAGCCAGCAUAGCCAAUGGUCAGGAAUUAUGGAAACUGUAGUCCAGCAACAUCUAGGGACCCAACGGUUGGGAAAGGCUGAUCUAAAGACUUCAAGGAACAACUCCUUUUGAUACUACAACAGAUAAUAGUUUCUGCAGCCUUUCCCUCUACUGUACAGAUUGUGAUAAUGCAGCCCUUACAAAGUUCCCAUACCAAUGAUGCUAGUAUGUCUCUUGAACAUGGUAACUCAGCAGGUGAACAGUUAUCAGUUGUUCAGGUUUAUAAGCAUCACAACAUGCUUCCAUGCUCUGGGAAUUCUGCUGAAAUACUUGCACCCACUGAACUGUGCAGCUAAGAUCAGGCAGCUAAAUUCCUUCUUCAACAGAGUGUAGUCCACAUCAACCUGGCUGCUACCUCACUGGCAGUGAAUAAUUGCUGGCACUGCAGGAUCUUAACUGCUUCCUUCAGCUACAUAACCAACAGGUUACUUGAACCUUGCCCAGCUUGUGACCCACUAUGCCAAAUGCAAUCCGGAAGCUACCAGGUACUCAAUAAACAUGUUUUUCUGCCUGCCUGGUACUGCAGAAGAGUUGCCAAGCCCUCAGUAAAUCCCAAUACAUGGUUGGCGGGAUACAUUUGAUCAUAAAUUAUACAGCCUGGAUUAAGCUGAGUCACCAAGUCUUCACCAACAGAGAGUUUGUACUUCUAACUUCCCUGAACACCCUCUGCCAUUUUUCCUUCUGAUUGGUCAGACUUCUUGUUAGGGUCAUAAGCUUCCAGGUCUUGUCACCUUGUAGUGGUGAGUGGGUUUGCGUGUUCCAAUGAACCCAGUGAGCGAUGCCAUUGGGAGUCAUGUACUCCCAGCAGGGUCACCCAUGGCGGUAAGGUCAAGGGAGAGGAACCAGACAAAGAAUGAUCCAAGAAAGUCCUCAACAGCAGAACAGGCAGGGGAUAACAAUGUGUACGUUACAACGGCUGUGAAGGCAGAUGAAGGCUGCAGCAGGUAAAAGACUUCUAAUUGUCAUGGAAUCCAUGCCAUUGGAUCAAAGCCUUUUUCUCUCAAGAUUGUGUGUUGAUCGUCGUGCACCAGUCUCCCCAGAUAAAACAAAUGCACGCACAGGCGUCUUCCAAGCAAAGACCUCAACUUGGAAGACAAUCUUACUCAGCCACGAGUGAUCGCCAAUGAUUGCCUGAGUGAGUACAGCCAACCUGGCUGUGUGAUCAAGCUUCUAUGCUGUAUUCUCAGCUUUCCUGUUUCCAGCAUUGUGCUGCUGUCUGGUUCCUGCUCCCCUGGAUAGAUUCUUCUAUCAAAUUGAAUCAAAUCUUCAGGUUUCUAAUUUCAGUGGUUGCUGUAGUUGGAUUGUCUUCCUUUCAGUCAGUCACUCCUUACCUACAUGACUCUCAAAGGGCUCACAAGUGCCUGGCAAUGUGUGCUGUAACACCUCAUAGGUGUUCACUGCCAGCAACUCUCCUGUGAACAUUACCAAGAUAGGCAUGUUCCAAUGCUUCUUGAAAGCACCAAAACACAAUUUAUUGGGAGCUGGUAAAGGGUGGGAGGAUCUGCUGGGAUUCUUCAUGCAGAGUUGGUACGGUUUCCAUAAUAUCGGUUUUGGGAGUAUUGGCAGAUAGUUGUUAAAUACUGUUUUUCCCAAUCCUGUUGGAUGUUGAAGCUGAGAUACUGUUGAAUAACCUUAUACUGUGUUGCUGUCUACUUGGCUGAUAGGGAGAAUUCUUCAGCCUUCCUGAAUUACUGUAACUUUGUGGUUGUCCAGCAUGUGGCUACUUUCUUUUUCAUCCCCUUCCCAACAGCUGUGCAGCUGAAGACAAUUGUCACUGUUGUAAGGGUACAGCAUUGUGUUCUGCUUGCACAGGCAUCCUACCACAGCCAGCUCCUCUGGAUCUGCACAGGAGUUCAUCACCCCUAGCCAAGGCUUCCAGGUCUUUCAGCAUGUCAAAGUAGACCUGAAAGAGAAAACGAAGGAAAUGAAAGCAAGGAAAUUCCCAUAUGUCUUCCGGGGGGUGGGGUAUUCUGAAAAUAAUUGCUAAGUUCAAGAUUCUUGCAUUAAUCUACAAAGCACUUAACAACUUGGAUCCAAGAUACCUUCAUGGUGCUUUAUGUCCCUGUCCAAUCACUGAGGUCUUUGGGGAAAUCACUUUUAGUAGUCUCCCAUAGCCCAGAUGCAUGGCAGGAGCCAUACAUUCAGUAUCAAGGGCUCAAUUUUGUGGAAUCGUCUCCUGGCUAAGAUCAGACAGAUCCCCUCACUGUUGAAUUUCUGGUGCCCUGGUGAAGACCUUUUUAAUGCAGCAGGCAUACUAAGUAAGUGUUCUUAUUUUAUUGUUAGUUUUUAUCUUAUAAAGAAAUAUUAUACCCGUUAUACAUUUUGUUUAACAGAAAGCAAUGCAUUAAAGGGGGAGGUUUAAAGCUGUAGUAAAAGCAACAAUAAAUUAAAGCACAUUUUGAGAUAUUACCUUAAGAAUUCUUCUAGAAAUUGAUAAUGAAGGGGUGAGGGAUAUCUCUUUGGAAGACCAGCUGGGUGUUAUGACCAAACAAGCCCUGUCCCUUGUACCCAGUUCUACAGGGAGCCAGAGAUGGGCCUCAGUGUUAGAAUAAAGUUCUUGGGAAGAUUGAUUCCUGAGAUAUCCUGGGCUGGGACCAUUAAGUGCUGUAGCGUGUUUUUUUUAAAAAAAAAAUUAAAUGUGUUUUUAAAUUUGUAUGUUUGUAUUUAAUGUUUUUAAUUGCUGUAAACUGCCCAGAGAGCUUCAGCUAUGGGGCGGUAUA